rnacentral:rRNA from 1 species
CGGACGGGUGAGUAAUGCCUAGGAAUCUGCCUGGUAGUGGGGGACAACGUUUCGAAAGGAACGCUAAUACCGCAUACGUACUACGGGAGAAAGCAGGGGACCUUCGGGCCUUGCGCUAUCAGAUGAGCCUAGGUCGGAUUAGCUAGUUGGUGAGGUAAUGGCUCACCAAGGCGACGAUCCGUAACUGGUCUGAGAGGAUGAUCAGUCACACUGGAACUGAGACACGGUCCAGACUCCUACGGGAGGCAGCAGCC